rnacentral:ribozyme from 12 species
AAAGAAAAGAAGAAAAGAGCCCUCGUCGCCAUCAUCAUCGUUGUCAUAUUGUUCCCGUGUUCUUUCUUCUUAUUGUUCCCACUAUUUCUUUUCAUUAUUUGUAGUGUGUUUUUUUUAAAC